CUGCUGCCUUCCGUAGGAGUCUGGACCGUGUCUCAGUUCCAAUGUGGGGGACCUUCCUCUCAGAACCCCUACGCAUCGUCGGCUUGGUGGGCCGUUGCCCCACCAACUACCUAAUGCGCCGCAUGCCCAUCCGUGACCGGAGUCGCCCCCUUUGGCCGGAAAGGGAUGUCCCUUCCCGGCGUCAUGCUGUAUUAGGCGGGAUUUCUCCCGGUUAUCCAUCUGUCACGGCCAGGUUGCAUACGUGUUACUCACCCGUGCGCCGGUCGCCGG
rnacentral:rRNA from 1 species